rnacentral:rRNA from 1 species
CACGUAGGGGACGAGCGUUGUCCGGAUUCAUUGGGCGUAAAGCGCGCGUAGGCGGCUCGGAAAGUCGGUCGUGAAAUGCCGGGGCUCAACCCCGGGACUGCGUCCGAUACUUCCGGGCUGGAGGUAGGUAGGGGGAGAUCGGAAUUCCUGGUGUAGGCGGUGAAAGUGGCGCAGAUAUCAGGAGGAACACCGGUGGCGAAGGCGGAUCUCUGGGCCUUACCUGACGCUGGAGGCGCGAAAGCUAGGGGAGCGAACAGG